AUUGAACGCUAGCGGCAUGCCUAACACAUGCAAGUCGAACGGCAGCACGGGGAGCUUGCUCUCUGGUGGCGAGUGGCGAACGGGUGAGUAACGCGUAGGAAUCUGCCUAGUAGUGGGGGACAACUCGAGGAAACUCGAGCUAAUACCGCAUAAUCUCUACGGAGCAAAGUGGGGGACCUUCGGGCCUCACGCUAUUAGAUGAGCCUGCGUCAGAUUAGAUUGUUGGUGGGGUAAUGGCCUACCAAGUCGACGAUCUGUAGCUGGUCUGAGAGGAUGACCAGCCACACUGGGACUGAGACACGGCCCAGACUCCUACGGGAGGCAGCAGUGGGGAAUAUUGGACAAUGGGCGAAAGCCUGAUCCAGCAAUGCCGCGUGUGUGAAGAAGGCCUUAGGGUUGUAAAGCACUUUCGAUAGGAAAGAAAAAGCCAAAGGUAAUAUCUUUGGAAAUUGACGCUACCUAUAGAAGAAGCACUGGCUAACUCUGUGCCAGCCGCCGCGGUAA
rnacentral:rRNA from 1 species